rnacentral:tRNA from 1 species
GGGAAUAGCUCAGUGGUAGAGCGUCUGCUUGCCAAGCAGAAGGUCGCGGGUUCAAUCCCCGUUUCCC